CGACGGGGGAACCCCAAGUGCCACUCUUAACGGGGUGGCUUUUCAGAAGUGUAAAAAGCUUCUGGAAUAAGGGCUGGGCAAGACCGGUGCCAGCCGCCGCGGUAACACCGGCAGCUCAAGUGGUAGCCGCUUUUAUUGGGCCUAAAGCGUCCGUAGCCGGUCUGAUAAGUCUCUGGUGAAAUCCCACAGCUUAACUGUGGGAAUUGCUGGAGAUACUAUCAUGACUCGAGGUCGGGAGAGGCUGGAGGUACUCCCAGGGUAGGGGUGAAAUCCUGUAAUCCUGGGAGGACCACCUGUGGCGAAGGCGUCCAGCUGGAACGAACCUGACGGUGAGGGACGAAAGCCAGGGGCGCGAACCGGAUUAGAUACCCGGGUAGUCCUGGCCGUAAACGAUGUGGACUUGGUGUUGGGAUGGCUUCGAGCU
rnacentral:rRNA from 1 species